CAGACAUGGUCACUGAAGCAGGGGUUGUAGAGGCCAAAAUCCAAGGGAAAUAGAGCCCAGUGAGGAAGAGAAGGUGAUAAAGGACUUGAGUGCAAUAGGAAACCCGUCAAAAUAACAGGACUAUGAAGAUGGCAGGCUGUAAAUACCUUCACCUUCACCAAGAAUGUACUCUGGAGCAUUGAUGAACACAGGAACGUAGAUGACUGAAAGAUUAUCACAGAUGGAACAUGUUGGACGUCACCUUAAGCAAGCCUGAAGCAUUUCCUUUACCAUAGCACUGUUUCGCUGAAUAAUUCAUCACAGACAGGUGAGACUUGCCCUUCUCUUCAUCUCUUCAGCCCUUCUUCUGUUUUGAGACAAGAAGAUCUCAUUGGGGUUUCUUGUAUUCAGGGAAACCUCAGGUACUUAUAUUUAGUGAUGAUAAUCUGUAUUAGGCACUCUAUAUGAACAGAUGAUUGAUGGUAUAUUUACAAUGUAACGUGAAAGGUACUUCGCCAGCAAGACAGACAAAAAAUCAUGCCCACAUUUAAACAUUUAGCUAUGAAUAAAAUAAUGUCCUUAAUGUUCACCGGCCGCAUCAGUGGGUAGUAAGCACAUUAAAGCCAUAAAAGCACUUAGUAAUGGGAGUAAUUGAAAGUCUGCAAGCUGUGCUAAGCAAUAACAGCUUUUGUAUGUGUGUGAGUCUGUGUGUGUGUGUGUGUGUGUGUGUGUGUGUGGUCUGCAGUGUUUGGCAAAGCUCAUUUUGUUCAGCGUGACCAGUCUAACAGGCAUGGCAGACCUGAUGGGCACUACGAUCUCAUAAAUGUGGUCCAGCAGAGGUCAAAGCUCAAAGGAAUUCACAUAUUUAAAAGGAUGAGGAACGUCUGUUAAAAACAAACAAACAAAAAU